rnacentral:lncRNA from 1 species
GUGUGGAUGCAUUCUAACUCAAGUUCAUGGAGUGUAAAAAGCAAGUUCACCACCUCAUGCCCAUGCUGGACCUGAGCUCCAUUCAGCCCGACAAGGAGUCGGAUGAGUCAGGUGAUGAGGAUGCAGAGGCCGAAGCAGACCUUCCCCAAUCGAGCUCCUGAAUAUCUCUUGUACUCUUUUCCUUUGUAUUUGUAAUAAAUCUUUUUUGGAAAUGAAAUGA